GAUGAACGCUGGCGGCGUGCCUAAUACAUGCAAGUCGAGCGAACAGAUGUGGUUCUUUCUCCUCUGACGUUAACGGCGGACUGGUGAGUAACACGUGAAUACACUACCUAUCAGACUGGGAUAACUUCGGGAAACCUGAGCGAAUACCGGAUAAUAUGCAAAACCGCAUGGGUCAAUAUUGCAAGACGGUUUUGCUGUCACUUAUGGAUGGAUCCACGCGGCAUUAGCUAGUUGGUAAGGUAACGUCUUACGAAGGCGACGAUGCGUAGCGGAACGGCGAGGGUGACCGGCGACACUGGAACCGAGACCCGGUCCAGACGACUACGGGAGGGAGCAGUAGGGAUUCUGCCGCAAGGGGCGAAGGCCUGACGGAGAAACGCGGAGUGAGUGACGAAGGUCGUCGGAUCGUAAAACUCUGUUAUUAGGGAAGAACAAAUGUGUAUGGAACUAUGAACGUAUUGACGGUACCUAAUCAGAAAGCCACGGCUAACUACGUG
rnacentral:rRNA from 1 species